rnacentral:lncRNA from 10 species
GAAGAAGAAAAGCCUUCCUGCUGUAAGGGUCUGAUUUGCUUUUGCAGGAGAAAGGGUCCUGGAGGGAGCCACACCCAUGAGCCAGAGCUAACAUUAUUUUCUGCUGACUCCAAAUUUUUAAACAAAGCUUCUCUUCCUCAACCAAUUGAAAAUAAGAAAAUCAUUGAAUCUACCCAAGAUGUGUAAACCCACGCUUCAAAAUAUCCCACCCUUUUAGGCCAACACUAACGUAUAACCUCCAUGUAUUGAUUUAUGAUUUUGCCUGUAACUUCUGCAUUCCUGAAAUUUACACCUGCCUUUCAAAACCCUUACUUGCAAGCCAUUGAGGUCAGGAUAUAAGAAUUAGCUGCCUGUUCCUCCUUGCUUGGUGCCCUGCAAAUAAACAACUUCCUUCCUGUGGCUGCAAAAUCUCAGUGUGCACAUCUGGUCUUACUGUACU